GCCUAACACAUGCAAGUUCGAGCGGAUGAAGGUAGCUUGCUACCGGAUUCAGCGGCGGACGGGUGAGUAAUGCUUAGGAAUCUGCCUAUUAGUGGGGGACAACGUUCCGAAAGGGGCGCUAAUACCGCAUACGUCCUACGGGAGAAAGCAGGGGACCUUCGGGCCUUGCGCUAAUAGAUGAGCCUAAGUCGGAUUAGCUAGUUGGUAGGGUAAAGGCCUACCAAGGCGACGAUCUGUAGCGGGUCUGAGAGGAUGAUCCGCCACACUGGGACUGAGACACGGCCCAGACUCCUACGGGAGGCAGCAGUGGGGAAUAUUGGACAAUGGGGGGAACCCUGAUCCAGCCAUGCCGCGUGUGUGAAGAAGGCCUUUUGGUUGUAAAGCACUUUAAGCGAGGAGGAGGCUACCUAGAUUAAUACUUUAGGAUAGUGGACGUUACUCGCAGAAUAAGCACCGGCUAACUCUGUGCCAGCAGCCGCGGUAAUACAGAGGGUGCGAGCGUUAAUCGGAUUUACUGGGCGUAAAGCGUGCGUAGGCGGCCAAUUAAGUCAAAUGUGAAAUCCCCGAGCUUAACUUGGGAAUUGCAUUCGAUACUGGUUGGCUAGAGUAUGGGAGAGGAUGGUAGAAUUCCAGGUG
rnacentral:rRNA from 1 species